UAGGGAAUCUUCGGCAAUGGACGAAAGUCUGACCGAGCAACGCCGCGUGAGUGAAGAAGGUUUUCGGAUCGUAAAACUCUGUUGUUAGAGAAGAACAAGGACGUUAGUAACUGAACGUCCCCUGACGGUAUCUAACCAGAAAGCCACGGCUAACUACGUGCCAGCAGCCGCGGUAAUACGUAGGUGGCAAGCGUUGUCCGGAUUUAUUGGGCGUAAAGCGAGCGCAGGCGGUUUCUUAAGUCUGAUGUGAAAGCCCCCGGCUCAACCGGGGAGGGUCAUUGGAAACUGGGAGACUUGAGUGCAGAAGGGGAGAGUGGAAUUCCAUGUGUAGCGGUGAGAUGCGUAGAUAUAUGGAGGAACACCAGUGGCGAAGGCGGCUCUCUGGUCUGUAACUGACGCUGAGGCUCGAAAGCGUGGGGAGCAAACAGG
rnacentral:rRNA from 1 species